rfam:Oryza rufipogon genomic scaffold, chr05
AAAAAAGCAAACUCUGAGUUUCCGUGUCCAAGUUUAACUGUCUGUCUUAUAUGAAAUUUUUUUAUAAUUUAUAUUUUUAUUGUUGUUAGAUAAUAAAGCAUGAUUAAUAUUUUAUGUGUGACUUGUCUUUUUAAUUUUUUUUAUAAUUUUUUCAAGUAAGACGGACGAUCAAAUGACAUAGAAAGCAGGGUUCGUCUUUUU